CUACAGGCUUAACACAUGCAAGUCGAGGGGCCUUAUGGUCUUAGCUUGCUAAGGCCGAUGGCGACCGGCGCACGGGUGAGUAACACGUAUCCAACCUGCCGUCUACUCUUGGACAGCCUUCUGAAAGGAAGAUUAAUACAAGAUGGCAUCAUGAGUCCGCAUGUUCACAUGAUUAAAGGUAUUCCGGUAGACGAUGGGGAUGCGUUCCAUUAGAUAGUAGGCGGGGUAACGGCCCACCUAGUCUUCGAUGGAUAGGGGUUCUGAGAGGAAGGUCCCCCACAUUGGAACUGAGACACGGUCCAAACUCCUACGGGAGGCAGCAGUGAGGAAUAUUGGUCAAUGGGCGAGAGCCUGAACCAGCCAAGUAGCGUGAAGGAUGACUGCCCUAUGGGUUGUAAACUUCUUUUAUAAAGGAAUAAAGUCGGGUAUGCAUACCCGUUUGCAUGUACUUUAUGAAUAAGGAUCGGCUAACUCCGUACCAGCAGCCGCGGUAAUACGGAGGAUCCGAGCGUUAUCCGGAUUUAUUGGGUUUAAAGGGAGCGUAGAUGGAUGUUUAAGUCAGUUGUGAAAGUUUGCGGCUCAACCGUAAAAUUGCAGUUGAUACUGGAUAUCUUGAGUGCAGUUGAGGCAGGCGGAAUUCGUGGUGUAGCGGUGAAAUGCUUAGAUAUCACGAAGAACUCCGAUUGCGAAGGCAGCCUGCUAAGCUGCAACUGACAUUGAGGCUCGAAAGUGUGGGUAUCAAACAGGAUUAGAUACCCUGGUAGUCCACACGGUAAACGAUGAAUACUCGCUGUUUGCGAUAUACGGCAAGCGGCCAAGCGAAAGCGUUAAGUAUUCCACCUGGGGAGUACGCCGGCAACGGUGAAACUCAAAGGAAUUGACGGGGGCCCGCACAAGCGGAGGAACAUGUGGUUUAAUUCGAUGAUACGCGAGGAACCUUACCCGGGCUUAAAUUGCAGAUGAAUUACGGUGAAAGCCGUAAGCCGCAAGGCAUCUGUGAAGGUGCUGCAUGGUUGUCGUCAGCUCGUGCCGUGAGGUGUCGGCUUAAGUGCCAUAACGAGCGCAACCCUUGUUGUCAGUUACUAACAGGUUCCGCUGAGGACUCUGACAAGACUGCCAUCGUAAGAUGUGAGGAAGGUGGGGAUGACGUCAAAUCAGCACGGCCCUUACGUCCGGGGCUACACACGUGUUACAAUGGGGGGUACAGAGGGCCGCUACCACGCGAGUGGAUGCCAAGACCCAAAACCUCUCUCAGUUCGGACUGGAGUCUGCAACCCGACUCCACGAAGCUGGAUUCGCUA
rnacentral:rRNA from 1 species